rnacentral:rRNA from 1 species
GAGUUUGAUCCUGGCUCAGAUUGAACGCUGGCGGCAUGCCUUACACAUGCAAGUCGAACGCGAAAGCGGGGCAACCCGCAAGUAGAGUGGCGAACGGGUGAGUAAUACAUCGGAACAUAUCCAGUAGCGGGGGAUAACCUGUCGAAAGAUAGGCUAAUACCGCAUACGAUCUACGGAUGAAAGCAGGGGACCGCAAGGCCUUGCACUAUUGGAGUGGCCGAUGUCAGAUUAGCUAGUUGGUGGGGUAAAAGCCUACCAAGGCGACGAUCUGUAGCUGGUCUGAGAGGACGAUCAGCCACACUGGAACUGAGACACGGUCCAGACUCCUACGGGAGGCAGCAGUGGGGAAUUUUGGACAAUGGGCGCAAGCCUGAUCCAGCCAUGCCGCGUGAGUGAAGAAGGCCUUCGGGUUGUAAAGCUCUUUCGGUGAAGACGAAACGGUUAGCGCUAAUAACGCUGACUAAUGACGGUACUCACAGAAGAAGCACCGGCUAACUACGUGCCAGCAGCCGCGGUAAUACGUAGGGUGCAGGCGUUAAUCGGAAUUACUGGGCGUAAAGCGUGCGCAGGCGGUUUGUUAAGGCAGGUGUGAAAUCCCCGGGCUUAACCUGGGAAUUGCGCUUGCAACUGGCAAGCUAGAGUGUGGCAGAGGGGGGGUGGAAUUCCACGUGUAGCAGUGAAAUGCGUAGAUAUGUGGAGGAACACCGAUGGCGAAGGCAGCCCCCUGGGUUAACACUGACGCUCAUGCACGAAAGCGUGGGGAGCAAACAGGAUUAGAUACCCUGGUAGUCCACGCCCUAAACUAUGUCAACUGGUUGUCGGGGAAGAAAUUCCUUGGUAACGAAGCUAACGCGUGAAGUUGACCGCCUGGGGAGUACGGCCGCAAGGUUAAAACUCAAAGGAAUUGACGGGGACCCGCACAAGCGGUGGAUUAUGUGGAUUAAUUCGAUGCAACGCGAAAAACCUUACCUACCCUUGACAUGCUAGGAAGUCCGCAGAGAUGUGGAUGUGCCCGAAAGGGAACCUGGACACAGGUGCUGCAUGGCUGUCGUCAGCUCGUGUCGUGAGAUGUUGGGUUAAGUCCCGCAACGAGCGCAACCCUUGCCAUUAGUUGCUACAUUCAGUUGAGCACUCUAAUGGGACCGCCGGUGACAAACCGGAGGAAGGUGGGGAUGACGUCAAGUCCUCAUGGCCCUUAUGGGUAGGGCUUCACACGUAAUACAAUGGUCGGUACAGAGGGUUGCCAACCCGCGAGGGGGAGCUAAUCCCAGAAAGCCGAUCGUAGUCCGGAUUGUAGUCUGCAACUCGACUGCAUGAAGCCGGAAUCGCUAGUAAUCGCGGAUCAGCAUGUCGCGGUGAAUACGUUCCCGGGUCUUGUACACACCGCCCGUCACACCAUGGGAGUGGGUUCCACCAGAAGUAGUUAGCCUAACCGCAAGGGGGGCGAUUACCACGGUGAGAUUCAUGACUGGGGUGAAGUCGUAACAAGGUAACCGUA